CGAGCACGCGCGUGUGGCAUAUCAAUAAGCGGAGGAAAAGAAACUAACAAGGAUUCCCUUAGUAACGGCGAGUGAAGCGGGAAGAGCUCAAAUUUGAAAUCUUCAAGGUUCUACCUUGACGAAUUGUAGUUUAUAGAAGUGUUUUCUGUUAGUAGGAGUGGCAAAAGUUCUUUGGAAUAGGACAUCAUAGAGGGUGAGAAUCCCGUAUUUGGUCAUUCUCUUCUAGCUUUGUGAUACACUUUCAACGAGUCGGAUUGUUUGGGAAUGCAGUCCAAAAUGGGUGGUAAAUUUCAUCUAAAGCUAAAUAUUGGCGAGAGACCGAUAGCGAACAAGUACCGUGAGGGAAAGAUGAAAAGAACUUUGAAAAGAGAGUUAAACAGUACGUGAAAUUGUCAAAAGGGAAGCGUUUGACACCAGUGUUGUUUUUCCGAAAAUCAAUUACGAAUGUUUUAUUUUUGAGGAGUUAUGACUUCAUCGGCUUGCUCCUUUCUUUAUGAAACUUUCUUAAUGCACUUUUCGGUUAACAAGUCAACAUCAAUUUCUUUUGUUGUAAAAGGGUAUGAGGAAGGUGGCUUUCUUUUCGGAGAAAGUGUUUAUAGCCUUGUGCCUCUGCAAUCGGAGAGAUUGAGGUCUGCAGCGUAGAUCCUUCGGGGUUAGAUACGUUUGUGCUAAGUUAUAGCUUUUCAUAGACAACUUGUUGACUAUGUUUAGUCUUGUAGCUUACUCGCUUACGCUAUUUUACCUACGCUUAGGAUGUUGAUGUGAUACUGCGAGCA
rnacentral:rRNA from 1 species